UACGUAGGUGGCGAGCGUUGUCCGGAAUUACUGGGCGUAAAGGGCGUGUAGGCGGCUUUUUAAGUCAGACGUGAAACCCCUGGGCUUAACCCAGGACCUGCGUUUGAAACUGGAGAGCUUGAGGACCGGAGAGGACAGUGGAAUUCCCAGUGUAGCGGUGAAAUGCGUAGAUAUUGGGAGGAACACCAGUGGCGAAGGCGACUGUCUGGACGGCACCUGACGCUGAGGCGCGAAAGCCAGGGGAGCAAACGGG
rnacentral:rRNA from 1 species